UAUUUGUAUUUGCAGAUUUUGACCCUUCCAAACAUCAUUACUUUCUCUUCACAAUUAAUACUUUUAUCCAUGCACCAAACAAUACAAUUUACAUUUAUGUAAUGUCUUUCACAUCAGCAGGAUAACUCAAAGUGUUUUAUACUGCUGCCUAGGUACUAAAGCAAGCCGGGUGAUAGGAGCUAAAGACGAUGGGGGGGAGGUAGGGGGAAGAUGACUGAAAGCGCAGUCAAAGAGUUUGAUCGGCAUCCACAGCACAGUAGAGAGGAUGGAAGACUUAAUUUAUCAGCAAGCAACAACCUAUUAAAAGUGCAAGCCAUAAAUCAGAAAGAAUUAGCACAACAGAAAAGGGAUAUCCCUCGAUGGCUUUAAAUAAACAUGUCAAUGUGAUUGAGUGCAAGCGACACACAAUAAGUGAGCCAAUAUUAUGGCUGGCCAUUCAGUACAUAUAGUUAGAGAGUCAAUGAUUGUUAUCUUCCAAAGAAAUGCUGCACAGCAAUUGUUAAAAAUGAGCAAUUGCAGGGAUCUGUGUUCUUAUGAUUGUAUCCUGGUAUGCCUAGGGUAAGUUCAUAUUACACACAGUAGGCUUGGGAUGUCAUGAUAGGCACUGAGGCUGGAUCUCAUACCUGAAGUUGGAAGAAAAAAUAACUCUCCCCACUCAAAACACAAAUGAGGUAAUAUUUGUUCAAUUACAAUCAUGCUGCUAGCUCAGUUUUAUAGCAUUUUUACUGCAUAAAGGAGUCCUGUAGCUCAGUGGUUAGAGCACUCGCCUCGCAAGCGAGAGACCUGAGUUCAAUUCCAGGCAGGGCGAAACCUUGGGCAAGUUUCCUUACUCCAUACGCCUAAUAAUAAUCCUUCCAAAACAAAAAACAAUAAUAAAUUGGUCAUUUUCAAUCUACGACUGUUUGUGGGACAUUGCUGUGCGCAAUUGGCUGCCACGUUCGCCCACAAAUAUACAGUCAAUUCUCUUUACAGUAUAUUCUGUGAAGCGCUUUGGGACAUCUAGAAGAUGUGAAAAGCGCUAUAUCAAAUGCAAGGAUUAUUAUUAUUAUUCUUAUAGAGGAAAAUACAAUGAAAUUUACAUUUAUACAGCACCUUUCAUGUUGAGAGGAUGUCUCAAAGGUCUUAACUUUAUAGUGGAUGACUUGCCAGCAAAACUCUACAAAAUACAGUCACUACACUUUACAUUAUAUGUGAAGUGCUUUGAGACGACCUCCUGAUGUGAAGAAGCUAUAUCAAUUGUUAGGGCAAUUAUUAAGUAUUAUUUAACUCUAAAAGAGAGCAAUUUCAACAAGGUUUUCGAGUUGCUUCUACCUGGUUUUACCUCGAGUUAGUUUCAUUUAUAAAAUGUUAUUUGGACAACAAGUGCCAGGAACAGCACUGAGUUAGACAAUUUUCACAAAGCUAGGGUUGAAUUAGAAUAGUAUAAGAGAGUAAACAGUGAUAUGUUUUCCCACUGUUAGGUAAAUCAGUAACAAGAGGAUGUAAACUCAUAAAUGUGCACUGUUGAAGAGUUCACAUCAGAGACUCACACUGUCACAAUGUUUUAUUCCCAGAUUAAUUUUCAGACAGCUGUUUCCCAUCAACAUUCCCAUUACAUACAAUAGAGGGAGCUGGUGUAUGUGCUUUUCCUGUCCAUAGCAGUACCCUUCCUACUCUUGUGCAGUCCAGUGACCUGCCUAAAACCUAGGGAUAAAUAGAAAUAAGACAGUUUAACAGAAAGGAGAAAGAUUCCAUCCACUGUUCAUAAUUCAGCUUUGCUUUACCAUCACAGAAAUAGUGUAAUGUAAUGUCCUUUUUAAUAUGGCAAGUACCAGCUUAGAGUAAAAAAUAUAAUUACUUAUUACACAGAAUCUAUAGCACCAAAACAAGCCAUUUGGCCCAACUGGUCCAUGUCAGUUUUUAUAUUCCAUAUGAGUAUCCACCCCUUCUUAUCCUCAUCCCUAGCCUCUUUCUUUAUAUAACCAUUGGCUUUCAUCUUAAAUGCUAUCAAUUCAGUCUUAAUUUGGAAGUUUUUUAAGAAACGUGGAUAAUCAUCUAACAAAAUAAGACUGACUUGAGUAAUGGUCUUAAAUUUUACGAUAGAUUGGUUUUACCCACUGAGACUAGAUGGAAUUUUGGAUCUAUGUACAAUCGUAAUACUCAAACUGUUUUAUUUUACAAAA